UGUUUUCACAGCCUCAGCCCCCCCCCCCCACACACACAAACAAACAAAGAGGCGUUAGGCUGAGACGCUGAAAGUCCGGAUUUAAAGUGCAGAAAAUUAAGCCAUUGAAUCUGCCUGUCCAUGACGUACAAAGACACACUAUGAGCCAGUAUGAUCCGACCAGACCUUACAUCAGCAUUGAGGAGUUGUCGGAGAAGAAAGAGGCUGAUUGAAGCGGGACAGAUGACAUGGAUCCAUCCUUCCACAGCCAGGAGUGCACCGACCUGUGUCCCACACUUCAUAUAAGACUGGAAGCUACACUGGAUCUCACAGCUACACACCACAGACGUCUACACACUGGAGAAGAGUCCCACAAAGAAGUCAUGACCCAGAGAAACAUUUCAAGCCUCACCUGAGAUUUUGUACAAUAUUUUUGCUGUAUGUAAAUAAAGCUUUCACUCCACAUA